GCGACCCCAGGUCAGGCGGGGU
rnacentral:rRNA from 29 species